rnacentral:rRNA from 1 species
AUAGCUGAGGAAAAGGAAACCAACCGGGAUUGCCUUAGUAACGGCGAGUGAAGCGGCAAAAGCUCAAAUUUGAAAUCUAGUACCUUCGGUGCUCGAGUUGUAAUUUGUAGAGGGAUACUUUGGGGCCGUCUCUUAUCUAUGUUCCUUGGAACAGGACGUCAUAGAGGGUGAGAAUCCCGUAUGAUGAGAGUCGCGGUUCUUUGUAAAGUUCCUUCGAAGAGUCGAGUUGUUUGGGAAUGCAGCUCUAAGUGGGUGGUAAAUUCCAUCUAAAGCUAAAUAUUGGCGAGAGACCGAUAGCGAACAAGUACAGUGAUGGAAAGAUGAAAAGAACUUUGAAAAGAGAGUGAAAAAGUACGUGAAAUUGUUGAAAGGGAAGGGCAUUUGAUCAGACAUGGUGUUUUGCGCCCUCUGCUCCUUGUGGGUGGGGGAAUCUCGCAGCUCACUGGGCCAGCAUCAGUUUUGGCGGUAGGAUAAAUCCAUAGGAAUGUGGCUUGCUUCGGUAAGUGUUAUAGCCUGUGGGAAUACUGCCAGCCGGGACUGAGGACUGCGACAUUCGUCAAGGAUGCUGGCAUAAUGGUUAUAUGCCGCCCGUCUUAA